GGAGAUUGAUGUGUCAUAUAUAGUAUGUAUCCUUGCAGUGGUUUAAGAAUGAUGCUUCCUUGUCUAGACGGUUUAUCUUGUCAAAUUCAAUAUGGUUUUUCAAAUCCAUACUUGUUGAACUUGCAUACCAUGUUCAUCUCGGCGAGAAUGCUCUCCGCUGAGCAGCAACGUAUGUCAAGGAGGAGGUCCGAUUCUACGAGAAAGAGUGGAUACGAACAUCGUGAAAGACCGUGUCCCCUUUUUCGUAGAAUCGAACCUCUUCCAUGACGAAGCGUGCCGCCCAGUUGAGAACAUGCUCGCCAGAUGAUCAC
rnacentral:lncRNA from 1 species